rnacentral:rRNA from 1 species
CUGUCCCCGGCGAGCCGGCAUGGAGGAGAGGCCAUAGAUCGCCGGCAGGCGCCUCCGCCGCCGCCGGACGCGGCGGCGGAGCAGGCUGGGGGCUCCCAGGAGCUGCAGCUCCCGGCGGACAUCGACUGGGAGCGGCUCGACAAGUCGCGCUUCUUCGUCCUCGGCGCGGGGCUCUUCUCCGCCGUCUCGACCGCGCUCUACCCCGCCGUCGUCCUCAAGACGCGCCUGCAGGUCGCGCCGGAGCCUCCCCCGGCGCACGCGGCGACGGGGGCGCGGCCGGGGCUCCCGCCCUCCGCCGCCGCCGCGGCCACCACCAUCCUGCGCCGGGAGGGCCCCCUCGCCUUCUACCGUGGCUUUGCCACCUCCCUCGCCGGGACCGUCCCCGCGCGCGCGCUCUACAUGGGCGCGCUCGAGGCCACGCGCUCCGUCGUCGGCCCGGCCGCGCUCGGCCUCGGCGCGCCGGAGCCUGCUGCGUCCGCGGCCGCGGGCGCGGCUGCCGGGCUCACCGCCGCCGUUGCCGCGCAGGUUGUGUGGACGCCCGUCGAUGUCAUCAGCCAGCGCCUCAUGGUGCAGGGCAACCCGUGCCCGGCCUCCCGCUACCACGGCGGCCUCGACGCAUUCCGCAAGAUCGUAGCCUCCGAUGGCCUCUGUGGCCUGUACCGCGGCUUCGGCAUGUCCAUCCUAACCUACGCCCCCUCCAAUGCCGUGUGGUGGGCGACUUACUCACUGUCACAGAAGAUAAUCUGGAGCGGAAUCGGCUGCUACCUCUGCGAGUACGGUGUGGGUGUUCAAGAAAUCGAUGACGGCGACGGUGAAAUCUCAUUGCAGCCAAGCUGCAAGACACUCAUGGUGGUGCAGGGAACGAGUGCCGCGAUAGCCGGUGGCGCCGCGGCGCUUGUGACCAUGCCGCUGGACACCAUCAAGACCAGGAUGCAGGUCAUGGACGGCCAAGGCGAGCCAAUCACCAUUGGGCGGACGGUGCGGGAGCUGAUCAAGGAAGGCGGGUGGGGCGCGUGUUACAGGGGCCUCGGCCCGAGGUGGGCGUCCAUGUCCUUGUCUGCCACCACCAUGAUCACCACGUAUGAGUUCCUCAAGCGCCUCUCGGCGAAGAAGGGGCAGGAGAGUGGCGUUCCCUGA